UUUUUUUUUUUUUUUUUUUUUUUUUUUUUUUUUCCGC
rnacentral:ribozyme from 1 species